rnacentral:lncRNA from 1 species
GUUGAUAUUCUUCAAGGGAUCCAAGGAAAUAAAAUUAUGUGUGAGAUCUUUGUUAAUCAACCUGAAAAGCAUAGUAAUUAAUAAUUGCUUGUCCAUAUAAU